rnacentral:rRNA from 1 species
GACGGAGGGGGCAAGCGUUGUUCGGAUUUAUUGGGCGUAAAGGGCUCGUAGGCGGCCAACUAAGUCGGACGUGAAAUCCCUCGGCUUAACCGGGGAACUGCGUCCGAUACUGGAUGGCUUGAGUUUGGGAGAGGGAUGCGGAAUUCCAGGUGUAGCGGUGAAAUGCGUAGAUAUCUGGAGGAACACCGGUGGCGAAGGCGGCAUCCUGGACCAUUACUGACACUGAGAAGCGAAAGCAUGGGGAGCGAACAGG